rnacentral:lncRNA from 1 species
AUGCCCACGCUCUACCCAGGUUGCCACCACCUGUGGGAGCCGGUCAAGGCCACGGGGCCCGGGCUGGAGCAACCCAAAGCCUCAGGAUCGAGGGAGAGCAACAGCAAGUGUCAGGCCAGAAGAAACAGGAUAAAGCCAUUCUUCCUUCCACCCAGACUGUCUGCCAAUCCUCUGACGUGGAUUUUGGAGGACCUGCCUAGCUGUCUGCUGACUGUUCUUCCUCAGCAUAGCUGCCCUGUCACAGCUAGUGAAGGUCGGGAGCAGCAGAAACCCAGCCCUGUUGUCUGCGAGUGAUAACGUAGGUUAUUGUAGUCACUGUACCCACCCCACCCAGGCCAGUGUGCAGUGUUCAGCUGGGGACCAAGGGGCAAUGUCCCCGAUGUAGAAAGAAUAGUAAGGCCAAAUCAAGGUGGCAAGGAAAUUUAGGGUUGUUUCUGGUAGGGAUUUUUACGUGAUCCUAAGUGUGUUUCAAAGGCACGUGUUAUUUCCGGUGUCAUUCUGACUGUAAGGAAGCGAGGUUGAGGGUGUAAGUGGGCAUUUUCCUAAAGAGCUGCUGCUAGGAGCUUAUAGGCAGGAAACAAUCUGGAAGCUUCUCACCUGGAGAGGCUCUCCGAUUCUUUCUUCAAGUGAGCCUCCUUUAAGUUGAGAAAGUGAAUGUGGAGGAGGGCUCAGAUCUUCUCGGUACCUGAGCCCAGCCUUGGCACUUGGGCCCCUCCUGCCACGGCUCCUGCCACUUCUCAGACUUGAAUUAUGUUCUCUUUCCUGGGGUCUGGCCUGCAGCAGGUGCCUUUCCUCUCCAAAAAGCUGUUGCUCACGUCCGGCCUCAUCUCCUCCCAUCUCUGCUGUUAGCCAUGGCAGUUGGCAUCACCAGGGUCUUAGCUAGAGAUGUUAUUCUGCGUUAGUGUUUGCCUGUCACCUGACUGGGCACAUCUGCGAUGACUAGCUGUGAUGUCAAGGGACACUUUGGAACUUUCAAGGUUGGAAGACAAACCAUUAAGCACUUUAAUUUUUCCGAAGACCCACUGACUUGCCAGUGUGCAUGGUAAUGAGACAUUAGAGUAGAAACUAGCACCGGCUCUUAUUUAAUGUUGACCCUCUGGCAGAACUGGGCCACAGCGAGUGGGUUUCGGGCGGGCUUCCUCCUGGGAGGGCAGCGCGUUGGUCGAGGACGUUGCUCUGCUUCCCAGCUGGGUUUCUGCCCUUUUCCAGCUUGCCUCGCCCAGCCCUCGCUCUUUUCCAGGCCCCUGCUCCAGACCUCUCUGCCCAGGGCACUCAGCUCUAGCCAGAGGGUGAU